rnacentral:rRNA from 1 species
CUCUUCGGAGGGAAGUGAAGGGAAUGAGCGGCGGACGGGUGAGUAACACGUAAGGAACCUGCCCCAAGGAUUGGGAUAACUCCGAGAAAUCGGAGCUAAUACCGAAUAGUUCUUCAGACCGCAUGGUCUGAUGAUGAAAGGCGCUCCGGCGUCACCUUGGGAUGGCCUUGCGGUGCAUUAGCUAGUUGGUGGGGUAAUGGCCCACCAAGGCGACGAUGCAUAGCCGACCUGAGAGGGUGAUCGGCCACACUGGGACUGAGACACGGCCCAGACUCCUACGGGAGGCAGCAGUAGGGAAUCUUCCACAAUGGACGAAAGUCUGAUGGAGCAACGCCGCGUGAGUGAUGAAGGUUUUCGGAUCGUAAAACUCUGUUGUAAGGGAAGAACAAGUACGAGAGGUAAUGCUCGUACCUUGACGGUACCUUGCGAGAAAGCCACGGCUAACUACGUGCCAGCAGCCGCGGUAAUACGUAGGUGGCAAGCGUUGUCCGGAAUUAUUGGGCGUAAAGCGCGCGCAGGCGGCCUUUUAAGUCUGAUGUGAAAGCCCCCGGCUCAACCGGGGAGGGUCAUUGGAAACUGGAAGGCUUGAGUACAGAAGAGAAGAGUGGAAUUCCAUGUGUAGCGGUGAAAUGCGUAGAGAUGUGGAGGAACACCAGUGGCGAAGGCGACUCUUUGGUCUGUAACUGACGCUGAGGCGCGAAAGCGUGGGGAGCAAACAGGAUUAGAUACCCUGGUAGUCCACGCCGUAAA